rnacentral:rRNA from 1 species
CAGAACGAACGCUGGCAGCGUGGAUUAGGCAUGCAAGUCGGACGGGAUCCGGGGGGUAGCAAUAUCCCCGGUGAGAGUGGCGGAUUGGGGAGGAGCACGUGAGCAACCUGCCCUGGAGAUGGGGAAAACCGCUGGAAACGGCGGCUAAUACCGAAUGUGGCGCCGGGAGGCAUCUUCCGAGCGCCGAAGGGGGCCGAAAGGCUCCCGCUCCGGGGAUGGGCUCGCGAACCAUCAGCUUGUUGGCGGGGUAACGGCCCACCAAGGCCUACGGUUAGCUGGUCUGAGAGGAUGACCAGCCCCACUGGGACUGAGAUACUGCCCAGACUCCUACGGGAGGCUGCAGUCGAGGAUCAUUCGCAAUGGGCGAAAGCCUGACGAUGCGACGCUGCGUGGAGGAUGAAGGCCUUCGGGUUGUAAACUCCUGUCAUGAGGGAACAGGCGAGGGGACCCAACACGUCCCCGAGUUGAGUGUACUUCAAGAGGAAGGGACGGCUAACUCUGUGCCAGCCGCUGC